UAACAUUGUCUUGAAAUGAAAUGAUGGUUUGAAAAUAGAGUAAUUAGAGACUGUUUUCAUGUGUUGUAAAUUCAUGGUUUGAAUCGAAUGGCUUAUGACAAUAUUUGCAUGAAUGACUGAAUUGGUAUUUUUGUUGAAAUAUAUGAACUGUGUAUUUAGCCUUGAGAGGCUGGAUUGUGAUAUAAUUGCCAUGUCAUGCGGUUGAGAUUUUAUUGAAUUGGUGGGUUUAGCUUGCUGCAGUGG
rnacentral:lncRNA from 1 species